ensembl:lncRNA LINC02930 long intergenic non-protein coding RNA 2930
UUUUUUUUUUUUUUUAAGACAGAGUCUCGCCCUGUCACCCAGGCUGGAGUGCAGUGGCACGAUCUUGGCUAUUGCAGCCUCUGCCUCCUGGUUUCAAGCGAUUCUCCUGCCUCAGCCUCCCGCAUAGCUGGAAUUACGAGUGUGCACCACCAUGCCCAGCUAAUUUUUGUAUUUUUAGUAGAGACAGUAGAUGUUGGCCAGGCUGGUCUUGAACUACUGACCACAAGUGAUCUGCCUGUCUCCACCUUGCAAAGUGCUGGGAUUACAGGCAUGAGCCACAGCACCUGGCCCCUUCUUUCUUUCCUUCCUUCCUUCCUUCCUUCCUUCCUUCCUUCCUUCCUUCUUCUUCUCUUCUCUCUCUCUCUUUCAUUCUUUCUUUUUUCUUUCUUUCUCCCUCCCUCCCUCUCUCCCUUCCUUUCUUCCUCUCAAUGAACAUAGUAUUUUGAAUACUAUAGUAGACUAAAUAGUGCCCCCCCCACCAAAGGUCCAUGUUGUAAUACCUGGAACCUGUGAAUAUGUUACCUUACAUGGCAAAGGGCACUUACUUUGCAGAUAUGAUAAAGAGGGACUCAGAAGGUGUCAGAGUCAAGGAAGACAAUAUGACAACAAGCCAAGAGGGGUUUGAAGAUGCUACUUUGCUGGCUUUGAAAGGGGCCAGAGCCAGAGAAUCCAAGGAAUGCAGCUCUAGCAGCUGGAAAGGCCACAGUUCUCCCCUAGAGCCUCUGGAGGGAGCGCAGCCCUGCCAGCACCGUAGGUUCAGCCCGGAUGCACCAUUUCAGACUUCGGACCUCCAGAACUAUAAGAGAAUAUAUUGUGCUAUUUUAAACCUUAAAGUUUGUGGUCAUUUGUUCCAGCAGCAACAGGAAACUAAUUUGAGCACCAAGCACUGUAUCUGAUAUAACCAAAGCUUCAAAGGAGGGUGCAGGCCCAGGAGUCGUGUGGCCACUGCCAGGAGAGCUAAAGCCAUAAGAGUGAGUGGGGAAGGGGAAGAGUUCCAGGAGCCAUGAACGGAUUACUCAAGCAGGGAUGCACAUUGUAUAUAAAAGAAAGACAUGAAGUACAGUUACAGAAGAGAGAUUGGGGCAUUGUCACUUCACAGAAGGCAAUGGGGAGUGUCAAGAGAUUGAUUUUCCCUCCUUUUCCCUGGGCUGUAAUUUCUCCCUCUUUCUUGGCUAUUCAUAAACAGAUGGCAAUGGACCCCAUGAGUGGAGCUUUAAGCCAAAAUGCCCAAAUCCAUAGAGACAGAAAGUAGGUUGGUGAUUGCCAGGGACGGGCUGGAAGGGAGCCGGGGGAAAAUGAGGAGUGACUGCUAAGAGGUAGAGGGUUUCUUUUGGGGGCUGUGAACAUGUUCCAGAAUUAAACAGUGAUGGUUGCACAACUCUGUGAAAAUACUAAAAACCCACUAAAUUGUACAUUUUGAAGGGGUGACUUUUAAGGUAUGUGAAUUAUAUUUCAAUACAAAUAAAAUAAGUAGAUAGAUAGAUAAAAGCCCACUCCUUGAGUGGCUUUCAUUCAAUGCAGCAGAACCAAAGAGCAGCCAGCGCCCUCCAAGCCUAAUGUGCUCCUUCUCACCACGCAGCUCUUGGCCACCUCGCUUCCUGCCUCUCUCAGUUGAUUCCCUGUGACUCUAUCCCUGCAUGGAGGAGAGACAAGUGAAAAUGAAAGACAGAUGAAUGUGUCAAGUUGAGAGCUCUUUACAUGAUGAAGGUGUUUCUGCUUCAUUGCAUGAAACAGAACAUAGAGCGGUGAUAAAACCCAGCCAGAUCCUUUGGGUUGACUUCCAACCGCAGGUGGUGGUUACUCAUUAGGAAAGAGCGAACACUGUAAUGACUUCAAAACUAAGGAGUGCAAAGCCAAAUAUUCACUAAUAAUCACUCAUCAAGGAGAACAGAUGGCACACGUUGAACACUCCUGAAAAUGAAAGCCCUUGGCUGCAGGGGUGAAUGUCCAGGACCCACAGAAAAUAUCAAGUCAGAUACCUCUUGAAGCACUGAUGGGAAGGUGCAGCUGGACUCCCUGGAACUCUGAAGCUGAGGUCAGAGAUGACUCUGCUUCUGUCCAACUCCUUAAUCACAUUUCUACAAGGCACUAAGCAUCUCCAUUUUUCUGUCUGUAGAAUAGGUAUCUUGGUUGCCAUACACCAACUUUUCUGAUGUUUUAAUUAAAACUAGGAAAACUGUCUUUUAGGAUUGGGCUGCUAGCAAUACGGAAAGGAGCACAAAUUUCUGGGUAAUGGAGAGAAAAUCUAUUCUAGUUCAAGUAUUUGGAGUUCCUAUAAAUCUUACUCUAUAUACAAUUGUUGCUUGAGAAAUAGUAUUACCAAUAGACCGCAAACAAUAUGCUUUUUAAUCAACUGUGUCUCAUCUGAGCUGUGAUACAUCUUUGGCCUUAUGAAAAGAGAAUGUUUAUUUAAUAAGAGCAGCUGCUGUAAUUUUUCAAAAUCAUACCUUUUUCUGAAAUUAUUCCCCUGCUCACAAAUGGUAGUGACUUUUGUGAAAGAGUUUAUUUUGAUUAUUCUAUUAGCUGGAUCAGUAAUCAGAAAACUUGCUUUGAGGGAAUUGUUUCCAGAUCAUGUCAUAUCACACAGGGACCCCUUGGGAGUCAUCUACAUAAGCUUUCUAAAACCUAACUUUUAAACAGCAGCAACAGUCAAACACAGUGGAUGUGGCGGGACCAUUCUCUUAUGAUAAGGUUUUGUACUUCUAAAAUAGGUUUCCUACUCAAAGUUCGGACCAUAAUUAAUCAGUCCUGGUUGGAGACUUAUACCAAAACUGCAAUAUAUGUGUGUUUUAAGCAUGAUUUAAACAUAACUUUUCUUUUCUUUUUUUAGAGACAGAGUCUCGCUCUGUUUCCCAGGCUGGAGCGCAGUGGCAUGAUCACAGCUCACGGCAGCCUUGACCUCCUGGGCUCAAGCAAUCUUCCCACCUUAGCCUUCUGAGUAGCUGGGACCACAGGCACAUGCCACCAAGCCUGGCUAAUUUUUUUAUUUUUUUGUAGAUGAAGGGUCUUGCUAUGUUGACCAGGCUGGUCUUGAACUCCUGGGCUCAAGCGAUCCUCCCACUUCAGCCUCCCAAAGUGCUGGGACUACAGACGUGAGCCACUGCACCCGGCCUAAACAUAGUUUUCCAAGCACACUAUGGUCAUUAUCUUUAAUUUAUGGGAGAAUUAAAGAGUUGAAAUGACUCUUCACUCUUUUGAAGUGGUAGCAACUAAAAAACAUAGUAGUUUUUUAGUUUUGGCAGUAGUUAUGGCAGAGAGAUUGGAACCACUGGAUGCUGGACUUCCAGGGCAUGAUGGCUCACUCGAUAGAGACAGAGCACUACGGAAGGGAGCCCCAUUCCCAAGCAUGGUGUCCAAUACACUGAAAGAAUAACUGGGCUCAGUAAUGCACCUAGAGACUCAGAUUCCAGACCUGCCCACUUGCUUUACUAUCCAAAACAACCAUGACACAUGACUUCUCUGGCGGGGUGUUGGCCAAGACAAACUGAACUAUAGAAGAUCCUUGACUUGCCAACGUUCAAAUGAUGAACUUUCAAAAAUAGCGAAACUGGCUGCAGAGCAAAAGCUUUUCAGCUCUGCACAACACCAACAGAUGGCGCUAAGUGUCACCCUUGUGGAGAGCAGAGGGACCUCGGAAGGGCCUUUGGAAAUCUAAUCUGGUUUUGAGUUCUUGGUGGGAAAAUGCACCUUUAAGUUGGGGGAGUUUGAAGACGUUGCCAAGACACGUGCUGCAGCAUUUGAUCUUUUCUGCCGCACUGGCUUCUGCAAUUAACAUGCUUUCACCAGUGAAACUCAGGUUGCGGGGAGAGCAUUCUUCCAGGUUCAUGCCUGUUGUCAUGGAGUAAUUAUAAUUCAUGUCUCCGUUCACAGUGUCCUGGUUUGUAGAAUAAAAUAUCUGGUCCACCCACCCA